GUCAGAGGCCCCCUAGAUCUUAUUAGAGAGCAUUGGGAGGGAGACCGGAGCGCAGAUGGCACUCCCAUCAUACCAUAUGGGGAGACCACCUAGGCCACGGCCUUAUGAGACCGCCUGGAAGCAUUGACUCGGACGGUAAGGGAAAACCUUCAGGCGGUGCAGACGCACCAGCGCACCUUGUAUGAUCGGGGAGCCAGGGACCGUAGCUUUCAGGCCGCCUGGCAGGGACCCUAUAGGGUGGUGGAACAGAGAUGCGAGGCCACUGUGAAAUAAAAGUUUUAGUUCUGCUCCUGAUGCUGUGUGUCGUCCAGUUAUUGGGAUUGCUGUUGGGAUAUUGCUAUAUUGUUUUACCUGCUGGAAACCUUGCUUUAUGGAUUGAUAACUACUUGUUCCUGAGCCUCACUGGGAGCUUAAGCGGAGAUAACUUG